AUGCAUCCUCUGGAUGCCAACCCUUGCCUCACCACAUGGGGCCUGAGCUUGCCACACCCCACAGAGCUGAUCACCUGGACGACUAGCUUCUGGUGGGGCAGAGAUGUGUGUCCUAACCUCCUGGCUUCCUGGCUUCUCCUCGAGCUGUCCUUGGUAGCUCUUCCUUUCACCCUACAGCCCUCCCAAGACCCGGCUAUCCCCUGUGAAAACACUUCCAGCCAAGAAGAUGAGGGACCCAACCUUCAUAAUUCAAGGUUUCCUGGGUGUCAACAGCAGACUCCAUCGCUUGAUUCCUGUUCUGAGAACCUGGCCUGUGGUCAGAUGAAGUCCCGGCUGAGGCCCUGGACUUGGCCCUCAUUUCUCCUUCUGCUCACGAGCCCCACAAGGGCUCUCCCCACUCCAUCCAACGGCUUCUCCAUGGGGUCUGUUGGCUCUGAUUGGCUCCUUUCCCCACACCCUCUGAGAUGCUGCAUAGAAGGCUGCCAGUCACGUUGGCUCUCAUUAACGCUUCCAAGGAUGAACGAGACAAUAUAAUAGCUCCCUGCACACCUGCCAGGUAGAUGUUGCAUUAGGCAGAAUGUUUGAGGUUGUUUUUGGUUCUGAUCAAAGUGAUUGAAACAGAUGUACCUUGUGAGUCUUAUUAAGUGGCAGGGAGAACUGCUCAUCAGACAUCUGACUUGUCCCAAGAAGUCUUUGUAUGCAGACAACCCUGCUUUGGUGUCCUUAAAUAAACGAGUGUUUAGUUUUCUGAUCA
rnacentral:lncRNA from 12 species